rnacentral:rRNA from 1 species
AAGCAGGGGAUCGUAAGACCUUGCGCUUUUGGAGCGGCCGAUGCCUGAUUAGCUAGUUGGUGGGGUAAGGGCCUACCAAGGCGACGAUCAGUAGUUGGUCUGAGAGGACGACCAGCCACACUGGGACUGAGACACGGCCCAGACUCCUACGGGAGGCAGCAGUGGGGAAUUUUGGACAAUGGGCGCAAGCCUGAUCCAGCAAUGCCGCGUGAGUGAAGAAGGCCUUCGGGUUGUAAAGCUCUUUCAGUCGAGAAGAAAAGGCUACGGUAAAUAAUCGUAGUUCAUGACGGUACCGACAGAAGAAGCACCGGCUAACUACGUGCCAGCAGCCGCGGUAAUACGUAGGGUGCGAGCGUUAAUCGGAAUUACUGGGCGUAAAGGGUGCGCAGGCGGCUUUGUAAGUCAGAUGUGAAAUCCCCGGGCUUAACCUGGGAAUUGCGUUUGAAACUACAAAGCUAGA